UACAGAGGUCUCAAGCGUUGUUCGGAUUCAUUGGGCGUAAAGGGUGCGUAGGUGGCGCUAUAAGUCGGGUGUGAAAUUUCGGAGCUUAACUCCGAAACUGCAUUCGAUACUGCGGUGCUUGAGGACUGGAGAGGAGACUGGAAUUCAUGGUGUAGCAGUGAAAUGCGUAGAGAUCAUGAGGAAGACCAGUGGCGAAGGCGGGUCUCUGGGCGAGUUCCUGACACUGAGGCACGAAGGCCAGGGGGAGCAAAACGGGG
rnacentral:rRNA from 1 species